rnacentral:rRNA from 1 species
AUUGAACGCUGGCGGCACGCCUAACACAUGCAAGUCGAGCGGCAGCGAGACUAGUAGCAAUACUAGUUGUCGGCGAGCGGCGGACGGGUGAGUAACACGUAGGAAUCUGCCCUUAAGCGGGGGAUAACCAAGGGAAACUUUGGCUAAUACCGCAUAAUCUCGAGAGAGCAAAGCUGCCCGCAAGGGUGGCACUUGAGGAGGAGCCUGCGUCCGAUUAGCUAGUUGGUGGGGCAAUGGCCUACCAAGGCGAUGAUCGGUAACUGGUCUGAGAGGACGACCAGGCACACUGGGGAUGAGACACGGCCCAGACUCCUACGGGAGGCAGCAGUGGGGAAUAUUGGACAAUGGGGGCAACCCUGAUCCAGCGAUGCCGCGUGAGUGAAGAAGGCCUUCGGGUCGUAAAGCUCUUUAGGUUGGGAAGAAGGGUAUUGGCUGAAUAAUCCAGUACUUUGACGGUACCGACAGAAUAAGCACCGGCAAACUCUGUGCCAGCCGCCGCAGUAACAC